rnacentral:rRNA from 1 species
AUGAAUUCUCUCUCUCUAUGUCGUCCAUUCUUGUAUAUGGCACAGGCUUUUGUUUUUUUGAUCGAACACUGCACAGACUUUUAUUUUUAUUUUAUCGAACACAGGCUUUUAUUUCAAGUGGUGGAGCAAGGUCAUGAAUAUAAAGCUUUUAUUCUCGAGUGGUGGUGGAAUGCAAUGGAACGGAAACGAAUUCAGGCAACACAACACGUAGGGAACUCAAAAAAUUUGUCUGAAACUUGCGCAGAUGCGGGUCGACGCACUGAAGAAAUGAAAAUUGUGCAGGUGGUUCGAGACACGCUGCAUGCUGCUACAAAAAAAGAAAUGAAAUCUGUCUGA